AUAGGGGGACGAACAGACGGAAACGACUGCUAUACCGAAUACGAUUAUUGAGUCGCAUGACACAAGGAAAGAAAGGGGUGGCCUCUACUUGUAAGCUAUCGCCUGAAGAGGGGUUUGCGUCCGAUUAGGUAGGUUGGUGAGGUAACGGCCCACCAAGCCGACGAUCGGUAGCCGGUCUGAGAGGAUGAACGGCCACAUUGAACUGAGACACGGUCAGACUCCUACGGAGGCAGCAGGA
rnacentral:rRNA from 1 species